rnacentral:lncRNA from 1 species
UCGUACUAUCGCUUGCCUUAACUACCCUUGACCUCAUAGGCUACUAAUGUGAUAAGCAGCAUGACUACAAUUUAUUUUAGACGCUUGAGAAUGGAAAAAAAUAACGGAAAACUAACUUUUAAGUCGAAUUGACCAAAUGAGUUACUAUAACUUAUAAACAAAGACAAUAUACCAAUAUUAUCCCAUAUUGUGGAAUCUGGAGAGAGUAAUGUGUACGUAGAUCAAAUCCCUACCUUGUGAGGAUAAAGAAAU